AAUGGAAUGUGUCUCUGAAUGCUUGUAAUUGUUUGAAGAUCAUUUUUCAGAGCUGGUCUUUGCAUUCUUUUGGUACAACUUUUGGGUCAUUCUGUUCUUCCUCUCCCUUCUCAAAAAGACAUUUUCAAUUAUUUAUUUAAUUCAUUUGAAUUAAAAAUAGUUUCCUAAAAGUUUCUUUAGAUUAUCCUGUGUUGUUCAUUUCCAUUACUAUGAGCACCUCUAUCAUCUUUCCCAUGAACUGGAAGGAAAUCUGUUUAUACAGUAAGACAGCACGGUUACACUUCAAAAGUGGUUCUCUGAGCUUUGGGUACUGCGCCACACCUUGUGAAGUGUGGUCUGAAGCUCCUUUCACUGAGACAAGGAUGGCAUUGCUUAUUCCUACUCUUCAUAAAGGUUAUUUUCACUCUGACUAACACACUUCUCUUAAUAUACCAAUAUUAUGUUAUUAAGAGGAAAUAUGUUACUCUUAACAAGGGGGAUAAAAUUUUGUCGUGUUCUACUGUCAGUAUUACAUAGUAUGUAUUUUAAUGAUUUAAAGUUUAUCUUCCUGAAGAAUAUUUUAGAAUUUUCAGAUAUUUCAUGUUUUGUGUAAUUCUUAAUAGAUUUCAGUAAGUUGUUUCUUCAGGCAAGUAACCUAGCGAUAAAACCUCUGAACAUUAUAUGAAUUUAUCAGUAAUGAACAUUAUGUGAAUUUAUGAAUAACCUAAUUUAAACAAAUUUUACAGAUCCUCUUUUAAUGUUGAUAAAAUGGUGAUUUUUAUCAUUGCAUUUUUGUAUCCUACUAAGCUAAGAAGAGAGAUCUAGCAUUUUCACAGGCAGCUUCUUUUCUACUUUUUGAGUCAUUCCUAAUGUUCUCUGAGACCUUAAUAAUUGUCAGUGUAUUUUUGUAUGCAGACUCCUGAGUAUCACUAAUUCUAUUUGGAUUUGUUGAUAUACUUUAUGUUCUGUGUUCUCCAAAGGACUAACAAAGCAGCAGAAUCUUGGGUAUGCCUGCUUUGUCAGGUAAGCUCUGUAACAUUCAUCAAGACUGACUAUUUAUGCAGUACGUAUUUCCCAAGAUACAUCUUCACAAGAUGUUCCUCCUAAAGCAACUUCUCCUGAUGUCAGUGUUUGCUAUUUCACAUUUUAAUUUUAGAUUGCCUUGGAAGCAAAAAUAAGAUAAACAGGUUUGGCACAAGCAUCAGGAUUAUCACAUGUUAGGAAUUCAUCAUUUUAAUGAAUUUUAAAUGGGUUUAAAAAAUCAUUUUCAUCAACUGUUUAUAUAUGACAUCUCUAAAAGACACCUAUAUGGUAAAUAACCAAUAAUUCAAUGAUUAAUAAAACACUUCUGAAACAGAAUUGCUGUUUCAAGGAAAAAACAAACAACAACAACAAAAAAAAAACCCACAAGAAUUAUCAAUUCAGAACAACUACAAGAAAAAAAAAAAAAGAAAAAUUCAGUCAAAUCUUCAGAGUGCAGAAAUCUAGAGCAUCUAGAAAUCUGAACAACAGACUUCACAGAAUUCAGCCAGAACAC
ensembl:lncRNA